UUUCAUUCUUAGGUACAUAAAGUUUAGGAUGAAAUAAAAAGUGACAGAAUGUAAAUAAAACGCACACAGAGAACGCGUACUCUGGGAGAAGCGGUGGCAGCUUUGGUACUGCAACCUGAUGGAUUGCAAAGGCAAAGUUCUGCAAUUAAGACCACACCGUUCACAUUUCCAUCUGAGACUCUUGCCGGAAGAGUAAUCCCUGCAAAGCCGGCCAAUCAAAUGCAGAGAUGUGCCCCAUCGGAUUGGCUCUGCCAAGCAGAAGCGAGAACGGGAGGAAGACUUGGCACUCAGGCCCCCACUAAGGAGAGUAUGCAGAUAUGAAAUCAGAAUAGGAAGAACCAUGGCCGCAUCACUACCAAAAUAUUAAGUGCAACUAGAGUCAAUGUGACAGACACUUCUCAGUAGGUGACAUCAAUUCCUGAUGCCCAUUUGGAGAGAUGAGGCUGAAGAUGACCUUAUGCACAUUAUGGCAGACUGCUAAAAUUGUUCAGCAAAAUUCAUUUCCUCUUCCUGAACACAAAGCUUGACUAUGCUUCCUAGGUACCAUUGCUGAUAGGUGGGUCAUGUGACUGGGUUCUCGCCAGCUGAGUCUGAAUCCAUGCGAUGUUGCCACUCUGAGGCCCGAAAGCAUUAAUGCACCCCAACUAGAGGGAGUGACUUCACAUGCCUUUUUGUGAGGUGGGAUCUCCCUCAGCCUGGCUCUUAGGAAAGCUAUCCACCAACCUGUUUACCUGUUCAUCAAUAGAGAAACUGACCAAGGUAUGAGCUUUCAUGAGGUUGUACUAUUACAAGUUGGAUCUGUUUGUCACUGUAGCCUGUGCUCAAAAUGAACACACUAAUAAAUUUGAAUAUCAUUGUGUUUACAGUG